rnacentral:rRNA from 1 species
CCCUUAGAUGUCCUGGGCCGCACGCGCGCUACACUGAAGGAAUCAGCGUGGCUUUCUCCCUGACCCGAAAGGGUUGGGAAACCCGUUGAAUCUCCUUCGUGAUAGGGAUUGGGGCUUGAAAUUGUUCCCCAUGAACGAGGAAUUCCCAGUAAGCGCGAGUCAUAAGCUCGCGUUGAUUACGUCCCUGCCCUUUGUACACACCGCCCGUCGCUACUACCGAUUGAACGGUUUAGUGAGGGCCUCGGAUUGGUUUCGGCCCGCUCUUUACCGGGCGGCGCCGUUGGUCGAGAAGACGCUCGAACUUGAUCGUUUAGAGGAAGUAAAAGUCGUAACA